rnacentral:rRNA from 1 species
CCCCUAGUAACUGCGAGUGAAGAGGGAAAAGCUCAAAUUUUGAAUCUGGCGGUCCUCGUGGCCGUCCGAGUUGUAAUCUAGAGAAGCGUCUUCCGCGCUGGACCGUGUACAAGUCUCCUGGAAGGGAGCGUCAUAGAGGGUGAGAAUCCCGUCUUUGACACGGACUGCCAGUGCUAUGUGAUGCGCUCUCGAAGAGUCGAGUUGUUUGGGAAUGCAGCUCAAAAUGGGUGGUAAAUUCCAUCUAAAGCUAAAUACAGGCGAGAGACCGAUAGCGAACAAGUACCGUGAGGGAAAGAUGAAAAGAACUUUGGAAAGAGAGUUAAACAGUACGUGAAAUUGCUGAAAGGGAAACGCUUGAUGUCAGUCGCGUCCGCCAGGGAUCAACCUUGCUUCUUCGCUGGGUGCAUUUCUUGGUCGGACGGGUCAGCAUCGGUUUCGAUCGAGGUAGAAUGGNCGAGGGAACGUGGCACCUCUAGGGGUGUGUUAUAGCCCUGGGUCGUAUGCGUCGGUAGGGACCGAGGAACUCGGCACGACCUUCACGGGUCGGUGUCUAGGAUGCUGGCAUAAUGGCCUUAAGCGACCCGUCUUGAAACACGGACCAAGGAGUCUAACAUGCCUGCGAGUGUUCGGGUGGAAAACUCGAGCGCGCAACGAAAGUGAAAGUCGAGAUCUCUGUCGUGAGAGCAUCGACGCCC